rnacentral:lncRNA from 1 species
UGAGAACAAAAUAAAUUCAUACACAUAGUAAUACAGUAAACCAGGUAUUCAAAAUUAUCCUACAGUGGCAUAUGGACCCCGAGAUAACCAAAAGUGUGCAAGAAUGUAGACCUACGAUUUCCAAGGAAGUAAGUCCAAAAGAAAUCCUUGAUGAAAUCGACUGCCUACAGAUUAUCUUGAACCUGAAAUGGUUAAAAAAGAAAGGGUGAGUUUUCAUAAACUCAGUGAGUAAACAAAGUCCGUCAUUAACAUCUAAAGCCGAGUAAAUGGAGACAGUUAACUUUUCAUCAUACCAUAAUCCACAACAUUUUGUACUUGUUUCAAAUCAUAUAAAACAACACAUUUCAUUAUAAUACACAUCACGACUUAUGAUUUUCUUAAAAACUUGGCUCGUGCCAAAAAUCAUACUCGGUGAUACCUUGGCCGAGGCAUUCAACCGAGUCCGCCAAGGUUAUUAAGUUAACAACUACUCAUAAAAACAUAGUUUAGCCAUCCCUUGGCGUUGGCAGAGUUCAUCCUCAAGUGGUGGUUCGGCGUGAAGUGAACUCUAUCGUACCUUAGGAGAUAUCCUUCGCGCCUCUCAUACUAAGGUAAAUAUAACGGGGUUUACCGUGCCCCUCUAAUAGGCUGGUCCACGGAAACCCGCCUACUGCAGUGGCUAAUUAAAUAACCCACCAAUCAAUAAAAUUUUGACAGCAUAACGUGGCUAACAUAAUACUACCCAGCCUGUCAAAGGAAAACAACAGUUUAUAUAUUUCACAACUCAAAAACCCAGCCACAUAUGUCAUCACGUAUCAGUUCAUAAAUCAUCAAUUCCAAACGUAGGUACGUAAACUUAAAUAUAUAGGCAACAUCAAAGGUUGGUCUCCACAUACUCACAUUUUCAAAAACAUUAUUGAAUUGUAAAAUAAGUCAUAAACCUUAUUCCUUAAAUCGAUUAUUAGUCAUAAAACAUAAAAUUCAUUUAGGUUCAAUAUUCUUAAAAUCAUAAAAACGAUUGUAAAAAUACUCUAGAUAGAUAAGAUGAACAGUGGUUACUCACUUUGACGGGAAUUUACAACACUCUUAGUCUUGAUCCUCGGGUGCAAUACCUUUGCCCUUAUCCGAGGGCUCACCACCUAUACAUAAUGUGCAACAGGAAAUUUAAUAUACUUAUGCUAAAUUGUCACAAAACUAUUCUAUGUUCUAUAUGAAUGCAUGCAAUGAAAUGGGAGGUGUUCGGCCUAUCGCGCACUAUACACUAUUUAAUCGAUCUAAAUGUCCAAUUCGAUUCCAAUUAAUUUAUUGCACUUCCAGUACUCCCCAAAAUUCCACACACUUCAAUAAAAAUCUAUUCUAAGUGCAAUUACCAAAAUAUCCCUCAUUAUUGUGCAAAUUGCUAACUAACGGGAGUAAAAUUUUUCGGUACCCGUUUUCGAUUUUCGGUAUUCCUAAGCACCAAAUACAAUCUAAAGGGCAUGCAAAACAACCAAAUUCAUCAUCAAACCUCACCCAUAAAAUUCGGCCAAGAUAGGUUCUAUAAUGGGCAUGUGGAUUUCUUGCUUAAUUUUCAUACUAAAUGUUACUAAACACCUAAAAACACUAAGUUACCUUGAAAUUCAACUAAAUUCAUCACCAACUUUCUCUCUCUAAAUCUGGCCAGCAUAUUGCCCCUCAUGAAAACUUGAAUUUAAUUCAUGGAAAAUGGAAAAGAAUGCAUGGGCAAGAUGAAUUUCAAGCUUAAUAUUAAAAAUCUUACCUUUAGUCAUCAAUUUCUUGAAAAUUCAAUAAUUUUUCCUUAGUUUUUCCUCCCUAGGGUUUUUCUUUUCUUUUCUUCUCUUUUCUGCAGGUGCUGGUC